rnacentral:rRNA from 1 species
UACGUAGGGGGCAAGCGUUGUCCGGAAUUAUUGGGCCUCAAGCAUCCGUAGCCGGUUCUACAAGUCUUCCGUUAAAUCCACCUGCUUAACAGAUGGGCUGCGGAAGAUACUAUAGAGCUAGGAGGCGGGAGAGGCAAGCGGUACUCGAUGGGUAGGGGUAAAAUCCGUUGAUCCAUUGAAGACCACCAGUGGCGAAGGCGGCUUGCCAGAACGCGCUCGACGGUGAGGGAUGAAAGCUGGGGGAGCAAACCGG